rnacentral:sRNA from 1 species
GCCAGGUACAGUGGCACCUGCCUUUAGUCCCAACUACUAGGAAGCCUGAAAUGAAGGAUCACUGGCACUCAGGAGUCCAAGACUAUCCUGGGUAACACAGUGAGACUCUUGUCAGA